UGGAAACUGGGGGGGCGAGGAGUGAGUGAGUGAGUGAGUGAGGGAGUGAGAGAGUGAGAGAGUGGUCUGGAACUCUGCAGUGCCACCGGUCACACCUCACACAGCUCAUCUCUGGCCAGGGAAGGAAGGAGACUGAGAGGAGGAACAAGGCUCUGACAGAGACUUGGAAGAAAGUCAUGUCUUCACCCAGGGAAGAGAGCCAGUUGUAAAGGACAAAGAGCGAU